rnacentral:tRNA from 1 species
CGAAAUUGGUAGACGCUACGGACUUAAAAUCCGUCGACUUUAGAAUCGUGAGGGUUCAAGUCCUCUAUCCCCAAU